rnacentral:rRNA from 1 species
CGAGGUCUUCGGGCCUAGCGGCGGACGGGUUAGUAACGCGUGGGAACGUGCCCUUCACUACGGAAUAGUCCCGGGAAACUGGGUUUAAUACCGUAUACGCCCUUCGGGGGAAAGAAUUUCGGUGAAGGAUCGGCCCGCGUCUGAUUAGGUAGUUGGUGGGGUAAUGGCCUACCAAGCCUACGAUCAGUAGCUGGUUUUAGAGGAUGAUCAGCAACACUGGGACUGAGACACGGCCCAGACUCCUACGGGAGGCAGCAGUGGGGAAUCUUAGACAAUGGGCGCAAGCCUGAUCUAGCCAUGCCGCGUGAGUGAUGAAGGCCUUAGGGUCGUAAAGCUCUUUCGCUGGGGAAGAUAAUGACGGUACCCAGUAAAGAAACCCCGGCUAACUCCGUGCCAGCAGCCGCGGUAAUACGGAGGGGGUUAGCGUUGUUCGGAAUUACUGGGCGUAAAGCGCGCGUAGGCGGACUGUUAAGUCGGGGGUGAAAUCCCGGGGCUCAACCCCGGAACGGCCUUCGAUACUGGCAGUCUGGAGUUCGAGAGAGGUGAGUGGAAUUCCGAGUGUAGAGGUGAAAUUCGUAGAUAUUCGGAGGAACACCAGUGGCGAAGGCGGCUCACUGGCUCGAUACU